rnacentral:rRNA from 1 species
GCAAGUCGAACGGUAACAUGAGAGCUUGCUCUUGAUGACGAGUGGCGCACGGGUGUGUAACGCGUAUACAAUCUACCUUUUACAGGGGGAUAGCCUUUAGAAAUGAAGAUUAAUAUCCCAUGGCAAGUACUUGUGGCAUCACAGGUACUUUAAAGUUUCGGCGGUAAAAGAUGAGUAUGCGUUCUAUUAGCUAGAUGGUGUGGUAACGGCAUACCAUGGCAACGAUAGAUAGGGGCCCUGAGAGGGGGAUC